ACGAACGCUGGCGGCGUGCCUAACACAUGCAAGUCGAGCGGAGAUAUUAGCAAUAGUAUCUUAGCGGCGGACGGGUGAGUAACGCGUGGGCAACCUGCCUAUAACUGGGGGAUAACACAGGGAAACUUGUGCUAAUACCGCAUAACAUCAUGAAGUGACAUCACUUUAUGAUCAAAGGAGCAAUCCGGUGAUAGAUGGGCCCGCGUCCGAUUAGCUAGUUGGUGAGGUAAUGGCCCACCAAGGCGACGAUCGGUAGCCGAACUGAGAGGUUGAUCGGCCACAUUGGGACUGAGACACGGCCCAGACUCCUACGGGAGGCAGCAGUGGGGAAUAUUGCGCAAUGGGGGAAACCCUGACGCAGCAACGCCGCGUGAAGGAUGAAGGUUUUCGGAUCGUAAACUUCUUUGAUUGGGGACGAAUAAUGACGGUACCCAAAAAACAAGCCACGGCUAACUACGU
rnacentral:rRNA from 1 species